AAAACUAAAAGGACGCGGUAACCUUGACCGUGAUAAUGUAGCAUAAUCAUUCGCCAUUUAAUUGAUGGAUAGUAUGAAUGGUUGAACGAAUAUUUCACUGUCUUAAAAAGAAACAUUUAAAAAUUGGAAUAAUAGUAAAGAUACUAUUUAAAAUUGUAAGACGAAAAGACCCUAUAGAGCUUAACUAUAAUCUUUUUACUAAUCAAAAGAAAAAAUUCUUUAAAAUAAAAAGGUUGGUAGUUUAGUUGGGGCGACUAUCUUUUAAAAUUAACAAAGAUAAGCAAAGUAAAUAAAAAAACUUAUUGUAUAAUUAAUAAAUUUAACAAUUACUAAAGUAGGCUAUAAUGACCCGUUAUAAUCCCAUAAAAAAAAUAACGAUCAAUAAAUAAAAGCUACCUUAGGGAUAACAGGAUAAUUUUAUUUUAGAGAUCAUAUCGAAAAUAAAGUUUGUCACCUCUAUGUUGAAUUAAGA
rnacentral:rRNA from 1 species